UACGUAGGGGGCAAGCGUUGUCCGGAAUCAUUGGGCGUAAAGCGCGUGUAGGCGGCCUUGUAAGUCCGUUCUGAAAGCCCGGGGCUCAACCCCGGGAGGCGGAUGGAUACUGCAAGGCUCGAGUACGGAAGAGGCGAGUGGAAUUCCCGGUGUAGGCGGUGAAAUGCGCAGAUAUCGGGAAGGAACACCAAUGGCGAAGGCAGCUCGCUGGGACGUUACUGACGCUGAGACGCGAAAGCGUGGGAGCAA
rnacentral:rRNA from 1 species